AUUUUACGGCCUUGAAUACAAGUUCUUAUAGGCCCUGCCUUAAAUGCAAAUAUUACAAUUUUUCUUAAAAAUAAUACUAAGCACUUAAAAUUAUCGUCGUCGACGUCUAAAUAUAAAUUUACUACUGUAUUUUACAAUUUUUCUAUUGUGUUAGUAAUGAAAUCUAAAACAGGCUUGUAAAAUAAAUGGUUCCUCAACAAUUCCUUAAUGUGGCGGGAACUAUGACACCUAUAUAUAUGGACCUGUGGCAUUUUACGUCAAAUUUGGUCAAUGACCAAAAAUGGCUAUUGUUGUGGUUCCGGUGUAACGGUUUUCGAAAUAUUACGGAAAUAAUAACCAGUAAGCUUGUGAAUCGCAAAAUAAAUUAAAUAUUGUACAAUGGUGAAGUGCGCAGUUGUUGCCUGCACCAACAAAACCCAAACAAAACUAGCGGGAAAUUCAUUUCACAAAUUUCCAAAAAAUCAUGAUUUAAGACAAAAAUGGCUAAACAGCAUUAACAGGCCUAAUUUCAUGACCAUGUGACCAUGACAAAACAGGACACAGUACAAAUUGCUUGUAAAACUAUUGUAUAAGUAUACUAAUAAAUAUUGAUGCUACAUAACUAUGCUACCUAAUUUAUUGUGAGUAAAAAUACAUUAUUUUAGAAUGUGCUCACUUACACUUGGAUUAAAAGAAAGACUUAAAUUGGAAUAUUUUUUUUCAUUUCUCAUACUCGGAAAGUAGUGUUGUUUUGAUCUGAGUAUUGGGUGGAAAAUGCUGCUUCCCACCAUAGGGAGGGAAUAACUCAUACAAAUUACUUCCCACCGGAAUUAAGGCAAUUAAGGGCCGGAAUGAACU